UUUGCAUUGGUUGGAUGAAUGUAUGCUUUCUCUUGGGAGUUUAACCGAAACCAGUUUAAAACGAACCUUGUUUUUUUAUGCUCCACGUUUGAUGUGCAAGAAAAGAACAUGAAAUUCACAAAAUUACAUGAAAGAAGUCACAAAUGUUUCCAUACGCCAACGAAACGCUUUUUGCUCUGACUUCUUGUCCAAAAGAUUUAGAUGUUGUUAGAUCGUCUUAGUGUUACCGAGUAAUGUCGUCAAACGUCUGAGAAACACUGAAGAAAGCGACCAUGGAGGAGGUGAAUAGCCACAAGGUGAAGGGAUAGCCAGUGGCCAGAAAACAGGAAGCAAAGAGUAGUACAAUAGCACAACUAUAGUUGACAAGUUAGUUUCAACAAAGAGACGGCGGAAACUGAUUAUAUAAAAUAAAUAACAAAAGAGUAAAAAACGAAAUACGGAACAUGAUAAAAAAACAAAAAAAUACCUGCCAGAUUCUGAAUCACUUUUCACAAAUUGAGAUUUAACUAACCCUCACUCUGAAAAAUUUCAUGAAAGGUUAUAACAAUGAAAGAAAUAUCAUUUUUUUAUACCUUGUACGCUAUAAUGUUUGAUAGUUUUUAUUCCAUAGGUAUUCUAUUAAUGCGCGAUUAUAUGGAUCUGUAAAAUCCAUAUAUAGUUUACACAAAUUUUACAUAAACACUUUAUGUUUAUGCCUAAAUAACAAAUAUUUAGGAAAAUCGGAAUUAAGAUUAU